rnacentral:rRNA from 1 species
AACGUAGGUACCGAGCGUUAUCCGGAUUUACUGGGCGUAAAGCGCGUUCAGGCGGUUUGGCAAGUCGGGCAUGAAAUCUCUCGGCUCAACCGGGAGAGGUUGUCCGAUACUUCCAGACUUGAGGGCAGUAGAGGGUGGUGGAAUUCCGGGUGUAGUGGUGAAAUGCGUAGAUAUCCGGAGGAACACCAGUGGCGAAAGCGGCCACCUGGACUGCACCUGACGCUGACACGCGAAAAGCUAGGGGGAGCGAACGGG